rnacentral:rRNA from 1 species
AUGAACGCUAGCGGCAGGCCUAAUACAUGCAAGUCGGACGGGAUUCAGGAGCUUGCUUCUGAUGAGAGUGGCGCACGGGUGCGUAACACGUAUGUAACCUACCUUUAUCAGGGGGAUAGCCUCUCGAAAGAGAGAUUAAGCCCGCAUAAAAUCACAGCACAGCAUUGUGUAAUGAUCAAAUAUUUAUAGGAUAAAGAUGGGCAUGCGGAACAUUAGCUAGAUGGCGGGGUAACGGCCCACCAUGGCGACGAUGUUUAGGGGAUCUGAGAGGAUGGCCCCCCACACUGGUACUGAGACCCGGACCAGACUCCUACGGGAGGCAGCAGUAAGGAAUAUUGGUCAAUGGGCGGAAGCCUGAACCAGCCAUGCCGCGUGCAGGAAGACGGCCCUACGGGUUGUAAACUGCUUUUAUACGGGAAUAAACCCAGAUACGUGUAUCUGGCUGAAUGUACUGUAAGAAUAAGGAUCGGCUAACUCCGUG